rnacentral:lncRNA from 1 species
UCUGGGUAACGGGGUCUGCAGCGGAGCCGCGAUGGAUGUGGAGGAGGUGAAAGCGUUCAGAGACCGCUGUUCUCAGUGUGCUGCUGUCUCCUGGGGCCUUACCAAAGAAGGCAAAUAUUACUGUACUUCCUGACACAGAUCGAUCUGAGGAAGUGGUGAGCGCUGCAGAUAUCCCCAACACCAAGAUCAACUCCAUCAACAGGGGGCUGAGACAGAGAAGCAAGCAUGGAUGAAGUCUUACACAAUUUUUGGAAGCGCUACCUUCAGAAGAGCAAGCAGGCCUAUUGUAAAAACCCAGUUCGUACAAGUGGAAGGAAAGCCAAAUUUUCACAAGCUCCACCUGAUGUUCAG